rnacentral:lncRNA from 1 species
UCACAGCUUAGUCUAUUUUUAACAGAGGCAGAUUCAAAAUUUCGUCAGUUGGUUGAAACAAGCAGCCGUUGGAGGAACUAGAAGUCGUUCAAAGCGUUUAGUGAAGGUAUAAAGAUUCUAACCUGAGAAUUUUCCUAACCCCCAAACAACCUAAAGCACAUCGUCGCAGAAAUGUUGAAGAGAAGUUUACUUGUGUUAUUUAUGACAUUGUGUUUUACGUCACUGGGNGCGGCCAGAAACCCUUUACAAGAAGCUUAUGCCAACAUAAAAUGUGUACUAACAGGGUAUACUCAUACAGUACAAGUACAUAAUUGUCAACCACACUCAGUCAAGAUUAACAUUUGCCAAGGGACAUGUAUGUCCGCCUCGACACCUACUGGUGGUAAUUAUGAACAAGUNUCCAUGUGUACCUGCUGUAGACAGACUCAGACNAAGACCAUCUCCGUGGGCCUGUGGUGUCAAAAAAAUCCGAGCUCAAAGAUGCACAGAUAUUUUCACCCAAUUGAAAGUGCUACUGAAUGUUCGUGUACUCUGUGUUAAUAUAUAAUUAUGUACUUUUAAGUUUAUAAAUAGUGGACAUGACUUUGUUAAGAGUUUCUUUUCUUUCUCGUCUCAUUUUUUCCCGGUAUAAAAAAGUUACUGGACAGCUUGGUNAAACAAUAAAAAAAUAGCGUGUCUUUGGA